GGGCAGGCAACAUUGCAGUCGAGCGAAGCCAUUACUUUCAACCUUUCGGGAGGAGGAGUGAUUUGACUGAGCGGCGGACGGGUGAGUAACGCGUGGGUAACCUGCCUCAUACAGGGGGAUAACAGUUAGAAAUGACUGCUAAUACCGCAUAAGACCACGGUACCGCAUGGUACAGUGGUAAAAACUCCGGUGGUAUGAGAUGGACCCGCGUCUGAUUAGUUAGUUGGUGGGGUAACGGCCCACCAAGGCGACGAUCAGUAGCCGGCCUGAGAGGGUGAACGGCCACAUUGGGACUGAGACACGGCCCAAACUCCUACGGGAGGCAGCAGUGGGGGAUAUUGCACAAUGGGGGAAACCCUGAUGCAGCGACGCCGCGUGAGCGAUGAAGUAUUUCGGUAUGUAAAGCUCUAUCAGCAGGGAAGAAAAUGACGGUACCUGACUAAGAAGCCCCGGCUAACUACGUGCCAGCAGCCGCGGUAAUACGUAGGGGGCAAGCGUUAUCCGGAUUUACUGGGUGUAAAGGGAGCGUAGACGGCAGUGCAAGUCUGAAGUGAAAGGCAAGGGCUCAACCUUUGGACUGCUUUGGAAACUGUGCUGCUAGAGUGUCGGAGAGGCAAGUGGAAUUCCUAGUGAAUCGAAUUCCCGC
rnacentral:rRNA from 1 species